GGGUUGUGAGGUUAAGCGACUAAGCGUACACGGUGGAUGCCCUGGCAGUCAGAGGCGAUGAAGGACGUGCUAAUCUGCGAUAAGCGUCGGUAAGGUGAUAUGAACCGUUAUAACCGGCGAUUUCCGAAUGGGGAAACCCAGUGUGAUUCGUCACACUAUCAUUAACUGAAUCCAUAGGUUAAUGAGGCGAACCGGGGGAACUGAAACAUCUAAGUACCCCGAGGAAAAGAAAUCAACCGAGAUUCCCCCAGUAGCGGCGAGCGAACGGGGAGGAGCCCAGAGCCUGAAUCAGUGUGUGUGUUAGUGGAAGCGUCUGGAAAGGCGAGCGAUACAGGGUGACAGCCCCGUACACAAAAAUGCACAUGCUGUGAGCUCGAUGAGUAGGGCGGGACACGUGGUAUCCUGUCUGAAUAUGGGGGGACCAUCCUCCAAGGCUAAAUACUCCUGACUGACCGAUAGUGAACCAGUACCGUGAGGGAAAGGCGAAAAGAACCCCGGCGAGGGGAGUGAAAAAGAACCUGAAACCGUGUACGUACAAGCAGUGGGAGCACAGAGCAAUCUGUGUGACUGCGUACCUUUUGUAUAAUGGGUCAGCGACUUAUAUUCUGUAGCAAGGUUAACCGAAUAGGGGAGCCGAAGGGAAACCGAGUCUUAACUGGGCGUUAAGUUGCAGGGUAUAGACCCGAAACCCGGUGAUCUAGCCAUGGGCAGGUUGAAGGUUGGGUAACACUAACUGGAGGACCGAACCGACUAAUGUUGAAAAAUUAGCGGAUGACUUGUGGCUGGGGGUGAAAGGCCAAUCAAACCGGGAGAUAGCUGGUUCUCCCCGAAAGCUAUUUAGGUAGCGCCUCGUGAAUUCAUCUCCGGGGGUAGAGCACUGUUUCGGCAAGGGGGUCAUCCCGACUUACCAACCCGAUGCAAACUGCGAAUACCGGAGAAUGUUAUCACGGGAGACACACGGCGGGUGCUAACGUCCGUCGUGAAGAGGGAAACAACCCAGACCGCCAGCUAAGGUCCCAAAGUCAUGGUUAAGUGGGAAACGAUGUGGGAAGGCCCAGACAGCCAGGAUGUUGGCUUAGAAGCAGCCAUCAUUUAAAGAAAGCGUAAUAGCUCACUGGUCGAGUCGGCCUGCGCGGAAGAUGUAACGGGGCUAAACCAUGCACCGAAGCUGCGGCAGCGACGCUUAUGCGUUGUUGGGUAGGGGAGCGUUCUGUAAGCCUGUGAAGGUGUGCUGUGAGGCAUGCUGGAGGUAUCAGAAGUGCGAAUGCUGACAUAAGUAACGAUAAAGCGGGUGAAAAGCCCGCUCGCCGGAAGACCAAGGGUUCCUGUCCAACGUUAAUCGGGGCAGGGUGAGUCGACCCCUAAGGCGAGGCCGAAAGGCGUAGUCGAUGGGAAACAGGUUAAUAUUCCUGUACUUGGUGUUACUGCGAAGGGGGGACGGAGAAGGCUAUGUUGGCCGGGCGACGGUUGUCCCGGUUUAAGCGUGUAGGCUGGUUUUCCAGGCAAAUCCGGAAAAUCAAGGCUGAGGCGUGAUGACGAGGCACUACGGUGCUGAAGCAACAAAUGCCCUGCUUCCAGGAAAAGCCUCUAAGCAUCAGGUAACAUCAAAUCGUACCCCAAACCGACACAGGUGGUCAGGUAGAGAAUACCAAGGCGCUUGAGAGAACUCGGGUGAAGGAACUAGGCAAAAUGGUGCCGUAACUUCGGGAGAAGGCACGCUGAUAUGUAGGUGAAGCGACUUGCUCGUGGAGCUGAAAUCAGUCGAAGAUACCAGCUGGCUGCAACUGUUUAUUAAAAACACAGCACUGUGCAAACACGAAAGUGGACGUAUACGGUGUGACGCCUGCCCGGUGCCGGAAGGUUAAUUGAUGGGGUCAGCGCAAGCGAAGCUCUUGAUCGAAGCCCCGGUAAACGGCGGCCGUAACUAUAACGGUCCUAAGGUAGCGAAAUUCCUUGUCGGGUAAGUUCCGACCUGCACGAAUGGCGUAAUGAUGGCCAGGCUGUCUCCACCCGAGACUCAGUGAAAUUGAACUCGCUGUGAAGAUGCAGUGUACCCGCGGCAAGACGGAAAGACCCCGUGAACCUUUACUAUAGCUUGACACUGAACAUUGAGCCUUGAUGUGUAGGAUAGGUGGGAGGCUUAGAAGUGUGGACGCCAGUCUGCAUGGAGCCGACCUUGAAAUACCACCCUUUAAUGUUUGAUGUUCUAACGUUGACCCGUGAUCCGGGUUGCGGACAGUGUCUGGUGGGUAGUUUGACUGGGGCGGUCUCCUCCUAAAGAGUAACGGAGGAGCACGAAGGUUGGCUAAUCCUGGUCGGACAUCAGGAGGUUAGUGCAAUGGCAUAAGCCAGCUUGACUGCGAGCGUGACGGCGCGAGCAGGUGCGAAAGCAGGUCAUAGUGAUCCGGUGGUUCUGAAUGGAAGGGCCAUCGCUCAACGGAUAAAAGGUACUCCGGGGAUAACAGGCUGAUACCGCCCAAGAGUUCAUAUCGACGGCGGUGUUUGGCACCUCGAUGUCGGCUCAUCACAUCCUGGGGCUGAAGUAGGUCCCAAGGGUAUGGCUGUUCGCCAUUUAAAGUGGUACGCGAGCUGGGUUUAGAACGUCGUGAGACAGUUCGGUCCCUAUCUGCCGUGGGCGCUGGAGAACUGAGGGGGGCUGCUCCUAGUACGAGAGGACCGGAGUGGACGCAUCACUGGUGUUCGGGUUGUCAUGCCAAUGGCACUGCCCGGUAGCUAAAUGCGGAAGAGAUAAGUGCUGAAAGCAUCUAAGCACGAAACUUGCCCCGAGAUGAGUUCUCCCUGACUCCUUGAGAGUCCUGAAGGAACGUUGAAGACGACGACGUUGAUAGGCCGGGUGUGUAAGCGCAGCGAUGCGUUGAGCUAACCGGUACUAAUGAACCGUGAGGCUUAACCUUACAACGCCGAAG
rnacentral:rRNA from 1 species